CAGGAACCCUAUUUCUUGGUCCUCUGUGCAGCUGGGAUGUUCAUUGUAUGUCAGCAGGGGGAGUUCAGCCUCGUUAACAACCUGUUCCAAGUUCACUGCCAUCCCCACAGCGUACUGACACCACUGAUAACAGGCAUGACCGUGAGGAAAAAGCAAGGUCAGAGGAGAUGGCAUUACUGGGCUUGGGAUUUCUUGACAACCUGCUGCUCCAGGCAAAACACUGGUUUGGUCCAGGCACUUCAUCUGAGAGUCAGGAGAUUUACGUAGAUUUUCACUGGUCCCCAGAAUGGCAGAAGAGAAGAAAAAGAAAGAACCAUGAUGCAAAAGCAUCUUGAGGAAAAUAUUUAUUGUGCAAGGACCAGAGAGCAGUACUUACAAGAAAGGUCACUGGAAAAUCAAGCAGAGAAACCGGCCACUCAAAAUCACAAACAUCUCCAUCUUAAUCUUUCUAGCUGUUUCCUAUUUAUAGAUGAUUUAUUUCAUCUAGGCAGCUUGUUAUAAAAAUGCAGUUAUUAACUCUGAAAAAC
rnacentral:lncRNA from 1 species